rnacentral:rRNA from 1 species
UACGUAGGGCGCAAGCGUUAUCCGGAAUUAUUGGGCGUAAAGAGCUCGUAGGCGGUUUGUCGCGUCGGGAGUGAAAACAUCGGGCUUAACUCGAUGCUUGCUUUCGAUACGGGCAGGCUAGAGUUCGGUAGGGGAGAUCGGAAUUCCUGGUGUAGCGGUGAAAUGCGCAGAUAUUAGGAAGAACACCAGUGGCGAAGGCGGCUCACUGGCCCGGUACUGACGCUGAGGCGCGAAAGCGUGGGAGCAAACAGGG